ensembl:lncRNA
GGGGACUAAAAGGCUCUCAGGUGAUAAUGUUCUUCUGACACGCUGUCAUUUGUGGAGUGUUAUGGCUUCCUUUCGAAAGGUUGUGUGGCGCGUUGGGUAUGAACAGUUGUGAUUUAGCUUUAUCUGUGGGGCUGACUUAUCCGACCCGACCAGCAUGAUCAGGUCAGUGUCAAUGAAGAUCACUCAGAACUGCAGCUAAUGACAUAUAAAGAAUGAAUAACAAGGGAAAAUCCUGAGGUAGAUGCUGAUUGUUUCCAGUGUGGUUUGUGCUCCUCUGGUUGCCAUUUCCUCAUGGAAAUUGGUCACAAACCAGGCUGCUGUGAUGAUGCACAUUGUGGUAUUUUGCCUAAUUCCAUCGGUCUCCAUUUCUCUGCAUUCCUCCUGUUUUCUACCCUCUCGUAACGUUUCACUCAGUCAGCGAGUUAAUUACAUGAAGACCUUAGUUUUGAAUGAAGCCAUACUUGGUGACCCUUCCCGAAGCAAGGAUUGGCCCCUUGACCAGGCUGACUGAGCCAUUACAUAACACAAGUUUACAUCCAUACUCACCCAGGGAUUAUCAAUCCUCAUCGCAGCUGCUUUUAAACCGGGUUCUGUGGGCGCCUCUUGUGUCUUCCAGCUGUUACGAUGGACAGACGAAAUGGGGAUGGUAAAGAGAAGAGAAAAAAAGUUGCAGCCUGGGUGAUUUUUGCUAACCUCUGCAGAAGUUUGGCGUGUGUGUGUGGGUGGGAGGCUUAAGUUGUAGCAUCGGUGAUUUUUGCUUACCUCUGCAGUUGUCGUAUAUUGGUCCCAUUCUUUCUGGGUAAACGUUUUUGAGACCGGAAAAACGACCUAUUAUGGUCUUGAUGAACAGUCUUAACAUAUGACAUAAUGGACAUGAGCACAUACACAGCUCCAAAGAAUUAAGGGAACAUGUUAUCAUCGCAGUACAACCCCAAGUCAAUUAAACCUCAGGGAUGUCAAUCUGUCCAGUUAGGAAACAUAAGCGAUUGUGAAUCAAUGUCACCUGUUUUGGUGCAAAUGAAAGUGACAACAGGUGCACUGGAGAGGCCACGGCAAGACAACCCCAAAAAAGGCAAUGAUUUUGCCAGUGGUGGCCACAGACUAAUGCUCUCUCCUUAUCCUUCCUGACUGAUUCUUCUCUAGUUUUGCUAGUGGCCUUGUUACUACUGGUAGGAUGAGGCAGUACCUGCAGCACAUUCGGGUUGCACAGCCAGUCCAGCUCCUCCAGGAUGGCACAUCCAAACAAGCUAACGCAAGAAGGUUUGCUGUGUCUCCCUGUACAGUCUCGAGCAUUUAGGAGAUACAAUGAAACAGGCCGUUACACGAGGUGAGUUGGACAGUGCUGUAGAAGGGCAUCAACCCAGAAUCAGGAUCGAUAUCUGUUCCUUUGUGCGAGGAAGAACAGGAGGAGCAGAGCCCUACACAAUCCAGCAGGCUACUGGUGGGCAUGUGUCUGACACAACUGUCCAAAACAGACUCCAUGAGGGUGGCAUGAGGGCCUGACGUCCUCUAGUGGGACCAGUGCUCACAGCCCAGCACCGUGCAGCUCGACUGGCAUUCGCCAGAGAUCACCGGAAUUGGCAGGUCUGCUACUGGCGCCCCGUUCUCUUCACAGAUUUGAGCAGGUUCACACUGGGCACCUGUGACAGACGAGAAAGAGUCUGGAGACACCGUGGUGAACGUUAUGCAGCCUGCAACAUCAUCCAGCAUAACCCCCCCCACAGGACACCAUCCACUGUCUCAUCAGGAGCAUGCCCAGACAUUGUCAGGAGUGCAUAGUCACAUGGAGGCCAUACACACUACUGAGACACAUUGAGUUGCCGUGGUGAAAUUCACGCAAGUUGGAACAGCCUGUGAUUUCAAUUGUUUACCUUGAUUUUCGGUGGCGAGUUUGAAUCCAGCCCUCAAUCGGUUGGUGAUUUUGGUUCCCACUGACCGUUGUCCCAUUUUGUUCUCAACGAAUUACACCAUUUUUCCGUUAAUGUGUGAUUUACAGACUUACAGCUCUAUAUAACUGCAUAGGUGUCUGGGGAUGGGCGGAGGUCUGGCGGUAGUAUUGUGCAGCUGUUUAAGGGCUAACAGGUGACUUGAUCUGGUUAGCGUGUAGUCCUGUUGGUCUCACGACAAAAUGUAAAUGAAAACUCAUUUCAGUAGUCCUGCUCUGACCCGGAGCUCUAUAAGGGGAGGAGUAUUUGUGAGUUGUUUCCUGUGUUAAAGUAGAGGUUUAAAACAACAGCUCCGCCUCGAGAUGGAGUCCCGGUUAUGUUUCUGAAAAGUAGUUACGUCUGUGGCGCUAGUGUUACCAUUUUGCGAGGUGCCUUCACCUACCCAGGCCCAGUCACCUGUCACUCUAACCAAGCUAUAGCGUAGAAAAACAACAUUUGUGUGUUCUCUUUUGGUAAGUGGCACAAGCCCUUUGUUUGAACUAAUAAUCUACUCUUAUCCUCCUCAGAUUGGCAUCCGGGGUUUUAUUGUUUGUGUACAGCCUUCACUCCAACCCCAGCCUUGUAAUAACUGAAUCUCAGUAAGGACAGGCCAACCAUGGAGCAGAAAAACAAUGAUUGGCCUGGCACCACCUCCCCUCAGAAACCGUUGAAGAGCAGGUCCAAAUCCACGGAUGAGAUCCAGCAUCCCAAGAGGCUUUCCUCACAGAAGUCCCUUCCUGGUGGGCCAGACCUAGAGAAGGUCAAGGAAAGUCCGGAAGGAUCCGAGACACCUUCAACUUCUACAGAGGAGCUCAAGUGAUGACCGAUGGUGUCCUUUGAAAUAAACUAUGAUGAUCCAUUAUCACUGUACCAUGAGUCUUCUGUACAUAUCAAAGUGAAUGGUCAUUCUUCACAAUAAAGCAAUGCUGUUGAGAGGA